rnacentral:rRNA from 2 species
CCUACGGGGGGCAGCAGUAGGGAAUCUUCCACAAUGGGCGCAAGCCUGAUGGAGCAACACCGCGUGAGUGAAGAAGGGUUUCGGCUCGUAAAGCUCUGUUGUUAAAGAAGAACACGUAUGAGAGUAACUGUUCAUACGUUGACGGUAUUUAACCAGAAAGUCACGGCUAACUACGUGCCAGCAGCCGCGGUAAUACGUAGGUGGCAAGCGUUAUCCGGAUUUAUUGGGCGUAAAGAGAGUGCAGGCGGUUUUCUAAGUCUGAUGUGAAAGCCUUCGGCUUAACCGGAGAAGUGCAUCGGAAACUGGAUAACUUGAGUGCAGAAGAGGGUAGUGGAACUCCAUGUGUAGCGGUGGAAUGCGUAGAUAUAUGGAAGAACACCAGUGGCGAAGGCGGCUACCUGGUCUGCAACUGACGCUGAGACUCGAAAGCAUGGGUAGCGAACAGGAUUAGAUACCUGGGGGGUA